GUAGGUGGCAAGCGUUGUCCGGAAUUAUUGGGCGUAAAGCGCGCGCAGGCGGCUCUUUAAGUCUGAUGUGAAAGCCCACGGCUCAACCGUGGAGGGUCAUUGGAAACUGGAGAACUUGAGUACAGAAGAGGAAAGCGGAAUUCCACGUGUAGCGGUGAAAUGCGUAGAGAUGUGGAGGAACACCAGUGGCGAAGGCGGCUUUCUGGUCUGUAACUGACGCUGAGGCGCGAAAGCGUGGGGAGCAAACAGGAUUAGAUACCCUGGUAGUCCACGCCGUAAACGAUGAGUGCUAAGUGUUAGGGGGGUUUCCGCCCCCCUUAGUGCUGCAGCUAACGCAUUAAGCACUCCGCCUGGGAGUACGGCCGCAAGGCUG
rnacentral:rRNA from 1 species